GUACUCCAAGACGAAAACAGCAGCUGUGAUUUUGAAUACAUGUGCCUGGCAUAUCUGGCAAACGUGUCCAUCAUGUUAACGGUGCAGAGCUCUUGCUUCAUACCCUAGAUCUCUGCUCUCAUCGGCGCCUCCUGCUCUGCAUCCUUUUGCACAAUCCUGGACAUGAAGGAGAAGAAGGACGGGAGGAGGAUCCUGAGGACAUUGCACCCAAACAUGA
rnacentral:lncRNA from 1 species